rnacentral:rRNA from 1 species
UAGACCCGAAACCCGGUGAUCUAGCCAUGGGCAGGUUGAAGGUUGGGUAACACUAACUGGAGGACCGAACCGACUAAUGUUGAAAAAUUAGCGGAUGACUUGUGGCUGGGGGUGAAAGGCCAAUCAAACCGGGAGAUAGCUGGUUCUCCCCGAAAGCUAUUUAGGUAGCGCCUCGUGAACUCAUCUUCGGGGGUAGAGCACUGUUUCGGCUAGGGGGUCAUCCCGACUUACCAAACCGAUGCAAACUCCGAAUACCGAAGAAUGUUAUCACGGGAGACACACGGCGGGUGCUAACGUCCGUCGUGAAGAGGGAAACAACCCAGACCGCCAGCUAAGGUCCCAAAGUCAUGGUUAAGUGGGAAACGAUGUGGGAAGGCAUAGACAGCCAGGAUGUUGGCUUAGAAGCAGCCAUCAUUUAAAGAAAGCGUAAUAGCUCACUGGUCGAGUCGGCCUGCGCGGAAGAUGUAACGGGGCUAAACCAUG